UGCAGCAAAAUGUAAUUUAAAAAAUGUCUGAGAUAGGUGCAAAAAAAAGUCCUCUUUUGCAAACCAGGACUCUUUGUUCAGUAUGAGUUUUGAUACAUACAAGAAGGAAUAUU
rnacentral:snoRNA from 1 species